rnacentral:rRNA from 1 species
UACGUAGGGUGCGAGCGUUGUCCGGAAUUAUUGGGCGUAAAGGGCUCGUAGGCGGCCUGUUGCGUCUGCUGUGAAAGCCCGGGGCUCAACCCCGGGUCUGCAGUGGAUACGGACAGGCUAGAGUCCGGCAGGGGAGACUGGAAUUCCUGGUGUAGCGGUGAAAUGCGCAGAUAUCAGGAGGAACACCGGUGGCGAAGGCGGGUCUCUGGGCCGGUACUGACGCUGAGGAGCGAAAGCGUGGGGAGCGAACAGG